rnacentral:rRNA from 1 species
CAGUCGCCGCGGUAAUACGGAGGGGGCUAGCGUUGUUCGGAAUUACUGGGCGUAAAGCGCACGUAGGCGGCUUUGUAAGUAAGAGGUGAAAGCCCGGAGCUCAACUCCGGAACUGCCUUUUAGACUGCAUCGCUUGAAUCCAGGAGAGGUGAGUGGAAUUCCGAGUGUAGAGGUGAAAUUCGUAGAUAUUCGGAAGAACACCAGUGGCGAAGGCGGCUCACUGGACUGGUAUUGACGCUGAGGUGCGAAAGCGUGGGGAGCAAACAGGAUUAGAUACCCCGGUAGUCCCUGUCUCUUAUAC